UUGUGGUAUUUAAUAAUUAACACGUUUAUUACAUAAUCUUUCAAUUUCAUUGUUGAAGUUAUUCUGAAUAAUUAUAAGAGCAUCCGACCGAAGCCUGGAACUCAAGACAAUUUGUUUUGCGCUGCGAGUUUUGGUGGUGGCUAACUUUCAAUAAUUGAUGGCGCCUUCGAAGCUCGCGAUUGUAUCCCUGUUUCUUGCCCUAGUUUUUAUGGUAAUUGGGGCUGAUGUUUCCGUCGAAGGAGAGGUCACCGGAUCCAACGGCGUCGAUUCCUCCGCUCUCAAGAUUGAAUUGGACAAACUCAAGUCUAAGAUCCAUUCCCUUGAAUCUCUUGUUGAUGAGAAAGCCCGAGAAUUGAAAAGCAAGGAUGAGACAUUAUCACUGAAGGAGAAGCUUAUUCAGGAGAAAUCAGAUAACAUUUUGUCCUUACAGAAAGAAUUGGCAUUGCUUCAGAAAAAAGAGACAUUGAAUGCUGCAGAAGAGGUGGGAAAGGCUCGUGCACGGGUUGGUGAACUUGAGAAGCAGGUUGAUAAGCUCAAGAAGGAGUUAGAGAGACAACAUAAGGAGAAAGAAGCCAAGGAAGCCCGGGCGAAGGAGGCUGAGAAGAAGAUAAGCGAAUUGAGAACUAAAUUGGAUGAACUUCAAAAGAUUAAUGAUGAACAGAAGAGCAAAAUUCGUAAAACUGAACGUGCUCUUAAAGUUGCUGAGGAAGAAAUGAUGAAGGCAAAGUCUGAGGUCAAUUCAAAAGCUAAAGAGCUGACUGAGGUUCAUGGUGCAUGGCUUCCACCGUGGCUUGCUGUACAUUUAUUUCAUUGUCAGUCCUUAAUUGCAACUCAUUGGAAUGAGCAUGGAAAACCUGCCAUGGAUAUUGCGAUUCAAAAGGCCCUUGAAAAGAAGUCCCAAGCUGAAAAGUGGGCUGAACCUCGUUUGGAAAUCGUUAAAACUAAAUGGUUGCCGGCUUUAAAGGAACAGUGGCUGGUUUUUACAACAAAUGUCGAACCACAUGUGCAAUCAUUGAAGACAAAAACAAUUGAAGCCUACGAGGCAUCAAAGACUGCGAUAACUCCACAUGUUGUGAGAGUUCAAGAGAUUGUUGACCCUUAUUUUCAGGAAACUAAGAAGUUCAGCAAGCCCUAUAUUGAUCAGGUUGCCACUGUGGCCAAGCCUCAUGUUGAUAGUGUAAGACUAGUACUGAAACCCUACACCAAGAAGAUUGUUCAUGCUUAUGGGAAGUUUCUAAAAUCUGCAACCACAUACCAUCAUCAGGUUCAAGCCUCUGUGCAAGAAACAUUGAAAAAACAUGAACUGACAAGACCUCUUGCAACUAAAGAGUUUGAAUGGUUUGCGGCAUCUGCAUUGUUGGCUCUACCUAUCAUCAUUUUGUUUAGAAUUUUUUCAGCUGUUUUCUGCAAAAAAGCAAGGAGACCAGUUCGACAUGCUAAUCACUCUCGUCGUAAGGGUAAACGCGGGCAUUCAGACAAGUAGAGUGCCACAAGGUUGUCCACUGGUCCAUUCUCUUGUAGGGAAUCACUUGGAUGGGUUUUGGCGCAUUUCAUAUGGGCUUCUGGGGGUUGUGAAGUUUCAUCCUUGUUAACUAGUUCAGAUGUUUUUUUGAAGCUCCAGCAUCUUUCUUAUAUUUCGAUCUUUGUGAAAAGAAGUUUAUAGACUUUCACACUUCACAGUUAGUCAUGCUGAUAAGUCAUAGGAUUCACUGUAUGAUGGGCAGCGUCUGUUAUUUAUGUUGUAAGAGGUGUAACCUAUUUUUUUAUUCUCUGGUUUAGAGUCUAAAUGUCUCUCAAAGCCUCAACUUCUGUUUAUUGGAUUUUUCUGUCCGUCCUAGAUUUACAGAAAGAAUGGAUUUAUGCAGUGAUUUCUCAUAUUUGCGCU